AUGAGCUCGGCUGCUUCUCCCCCACACUUCUUUAUUUCUCCGUGCCCCUUCCGCAUGCGCUUCACGCGCCAUUGGCGCUUUGCUCUCCUCUUAUUUCUUCAUUGGAGGGUUCGGAUGGACUUCGCCGUUCUUUCCCAACAAAAAUGGAAAGGGCUCUAUCACAUCGAGAUGUCGAUUCGUUUUCCGCCCCAAAUGAGAUGGGGAAUUAGUCACCUCUGUCCCUUCAUCUUUUUGAAAGGAAUCGAGGCCCGGCCCGGCUCGCGUCAUUCCAACAACCGACGGGGAGCACCUCAGUAUACGAUCGUGCGCAGUAACUGGGAGUCCUAUUACACCUAA
rnacentral:rRNA from 1 species